AGAUUGAACGCUGGCGGCAGGCCUAACACAUGCAAGUCGAGCGGUAGAGAGGUGCUUGCACCUCUUGAGAGCGGCGGACGGGUGAGUAAUGCCUAGGAAUCUGCCUAGUGGUGGGGGAUAACGUUCGGAAACGGACGCUAAUACCGCAUACGUCCUACGGGAGAAAGCGGGGGACCUUCGGGCCUCGCGCCAUUAGAUGAGCCCAGGUCGGAUUAGCUAGUUGGUGAGGUAAUGGCUCACCAAGGCGACGAUCCGUAACUGGUCUGAGAGGAUGAUCAGUCACACUGGAACUGAGACACGGUCCAGACUCCUACGGGAGCAGCAGUGGGAAUAGUUGACAAUGGGACGAAAGCCUGAAUCCAGCCAUGCCGCGUGUGUGAAGAAGGUCUUACGGAUUUGUAAAGCUACGUUUAAGUUGGGAGGUAAGGGUUUAUAACGUUAAUACGUUGACUAACGUUUGACGUUACCGACGAGAAUAGGACACCGGCUAACUUCGAGUCCAGCAGCCG
rnacentral:rRNA from 1 species